rnacentral:tRNA from 1 species
GCCUGGCUGGCACAGUCAGAAGAGCUUGGGACUUUCAGUCUCAGGGUUGUGAGUUUGAAUCCCACACUAGGUG